AGAGUUUAUCCAACUUCACUUAGCAUUUUAGGAUGAGCAUUCAAACUUCAGGACAAUGGGAGACAAUAAUAUAAAAAUAUAUAAAAUGAAGUGGAGGUGCGCUCUAUAGAGGCUCUUGUAGAUAGAGAGUGAAGGAGCCACUCUGAUGACCACCAUUGAGGAACCGCAGACAAGAACAGGCUAAAGUGGGCUAAUCUUGUGUUUAGGCUCGUCCAUGCCAGGCAAGGGAAAGGUAAAUGGGUGCAGACCUAGUCACUCUGGACCAUCUGCAGUGGAGUGUUGAAGUAAUGGAGAGAAAUCCACAGCCUGUCCCAGGAACUGGGUGGCAUAUUGAGAGAGAUGCCACAUGGAGGAAGCCGCUGCAUGGUAAGUGACAUUCUGUCAUCUGCUCAGGUACUAUUAAAAAUGCGCAACCAC
ensembl:lncRNA